rnacentral:rRNA from 1 species
GGGUAAUACUGUAUAAUCCCUGCGGGGGAAAGAUUUAUCGCUAUUAGAUGAGCCUAUGUUAGAUUAGCUAGUUGGUAGGGUAAAGGCCUACCAAGGCGAUGAUCUAUAGCUGGUCUGAGAGGAUGAUCAGCCACACUGGAACUGAGAUACGGUCCAGACUCCUACGGGAGGCAGCAGUGGGGAAUAUUGGACAAUGGGCGCAAGCCUG